rnacentral:tRNA from 1 species
GCGGGCGUGGCGGAACGGCAGACGCGCCAGACUUAGGAUCUGGUGGGACAUCUCCCGUGGAGGUUCAAGUCCUCUCGCCCGCACCA